GACGAACGCUGGCGGCGUGCUUAACACAUGCAAGUCGAACGGUGAAGGUGGAGCUUGCUCCGCCGGAUCAGUGGCGAACGGGUGAGUAACACAUGGGCAACCUGCCCCUGACUUCGGGAUAACUCCUCGAAAGAGGUGCUAAUACCGGAUACGAAUCCUGCAGGCAUCUGCGGGAUUGGAAAGUUUUUCGGUCAGGGAUGGGCCCGGGGCCUAUCAGCUUGUUGGUGAGGUAGUGGCUCACCAAGGCGACGACGGGUAGCCGGCCUGAGAGGGCGACCGGCCACACUGGGACUGAGACACGGCCCAGACUCCUACGGGAGGCAGCAGUGGGGAAUAUUGCGCAAUGGGCGAAAGCCUGACGCAGCAACGCCGCGUGAGGGAUGACGGCCUUCGGGUUGUAAACCUCUUUCAGCAGGGAAGAAGCGAAAGUGACGGUACCUGCAGAAGAAGCACCGGCUAACUACGUGCCAGCCGCCGCAGUAA
rnacentral:rRNA from 1 species